UACGAAGGGGGCUAGCGUUGUUCGGAAUUACUGAGCGUAAAGGGCGCGUAGGCGGCCUUAUAAGUCGGAUGUGAAAGCCCAGGGCUCAACCCUGGAAGUGCACUCGAUACUGUAAGGCUCGAGUACUGGAGAGGUUGGUGGAAUUCUCGGUGUAGAGGUGAAAUUCGUAGAUAUCGAGAGGAACACCGGUGGCGAAGGCGGCCAACUGGACAGAUACUGACGCUGAGACACGAAAGCGUGGGGAGCAAACAGG
rnacentral:rRNA from 1 species